GCUUUUAAGAGUGCCAUUUCCUGCAAACUGUCAAGUAAGCUCAUGCUUAAAUUUGAAUCUUAUACAAGUUUAGAAUGCCAUAUAGUAGAAACAUAGUUAAACUUAUUGAAGAAGUAUUUACUUCUUCUUUUUCUUCUUGCCUUUGGGUACUGUUAAAUUUAAUGUUAUACAAGUUUAGGAUGCCAUAUGGUAGAAACAUGGUUAAACUCAUUGAUAUUUAAAGUAAUUUUCUUUUGGGGUGCCAUUCUCUUAUAGUUACAGUUUGAUAGUUAAUUAGUUAACUUGAUUCUCAGUUUAUGCAGGCAUCAUAGUCAGAUAAUUAAUCCAUGGGAAUACCAUUAUAACAUGUAUGAAAGAUAGAAACUUCCAUGUUGAAAAUCCUGAGCGGCAGCAUGUUGCGUGAAUGUGUUUGAGAUCUGAAACUGAAAGUAACAAGUUUCAUGCUAAAAUAGUGGAGGGUAGGAUUAUCUUCAAAUUCUUCCUACUAGGAUACUAGGAUUUUUGAACGAAGUGAUAUCGGGUGCAAGCCAAAAGUUUUACUGUCAUAGCUGGGUUCUAAAGCUUGCCCCAUAAAAAAAGGUUCCUGCUGAUCAUUCUAAUUUUGGGUCCCAAAUUCAGUUGACAACUAGUGCUAUUUGUGCUUAGUCAUUAAGCUUUGAGCCGGAUGGAGCUUAUUAACUCUAUUGUUCAACCUCUUCUGGAGUUUAUGAUUCUGGAAAUAUUGUUUUGCUGGUUUGCUUAGAGGUCCCUGAUCCUGAGCAGAAUUCACAUGGUU